AUGCUUUUGCCCUGUCUGUUCAUGCUUUUCAAUUACUUUGGUGAGUCUACUGGGUAUAAAAUCAAAGCAGAUAAUGACACCACACUGUUAAUGGAGGAUUCGAAUAUAACACUCUCAUGCACAUAUGAAGGCUCCAUUGACAGCUUGUAUUGGUUCCAACAAAAAACUGGAUCAAGACCUGAGUUUCUCAUAAUGAUUGAUGAAGCUUCUGAAUACGUGACAAAAGCCAUUCCACCUCAUCCACGCCUGUCAAUCCAACUUCACAAAGCACAAAAACGUGUUCGUCUAGAGAUGUCGUCUGCAGCCGUUACAGAUUCUGCUCUUUACUUUUGUGCUUUGAGGCCCACAUUCUACAAUAAAAACAGAACGACUAGAGGUGAUGAGGAGACAGAGGAGAUGCUGGCGCUAAUGAGCCCUUUUCACAAUCGCUUCACUUUCACCUUUCACUAA